rnacentral:rRNA from 1 species
ACGCUGUCGGCGUGCUUAACACAUGCAAGUCGAACGGAAAGGCCCUGCUUUUGUGGGGUGCUCGAGUGGCGAACGGGUGAGUAACACGUGAGUAACCUGCCCUUGACUUUGGGAUAACUUCAGGAAACUGGGGCUAAUACCGGAUAGGAGCUCCUGCUGCAUGGUGGGGGUUGGAAAGUUUCGGCGGUUGGGGACGGACUCGCGGCUUAUCAGCUUGUUGGUGGGGUAGUGGCUUACCAAGGCUUUGACGGGUAGCCGGCCUGAGAGGGUGACCGGCCACAUUGGGACUGAGAUACGGCCCAGACUCCUACGGGAGGCAGCAGUGGGGAAUAUUGCACAAUGGGCGGAAGCCUGAUGCAGCAACGCCGCGUGCGGGAUGACGGCCUUCGGGUUGUAAACCGCUUUCGCCUGUGACGAAGCGUGAGUGACGGUAAUGGGUAAAGAAGCACCGGCUAACUACGUGCCAGCAGCCGCGGUGAUACGUAGGGUGCGAGCGUUGUCCGGAUUUAUUGGGCGUAAAGGGCUCGUAGGUGGUUGAUCGCGUCGGAAGUGUAAUCUUGGGGCUUAACCCUGAGCGUGCUUUCGAUACGGGUUGACUUGAGGAAGGUAGGGGAGAAUGGAAUUCCUGGUGGAGCGGUGGAAUGCGCAGAUAUCAGGAGGAACACCAGUGGCGAAGGCGGUUCUCUGGGCCUUUCCUGACGCUGAGGAGCGAAAGCGUGGGGAGCGAACAGGCUUAGAUACCCUGGUAGUCCACGCUGUAAACGGUGGGUACUAGGUGUGGGGUCCAUUCCACGGGUUCCGUGCCGUAGCUAACGCUUUAAGUACCCCGCCUGGGGAGUACGGCCGCAAGGCUAAAACUCAAAGGAAUUGACGGGGCCCCGCACAAGCGGCGGAGCAUGCGGAUUAAUUCGAUGCAACGCGUAGAACCUUACCUGGGUUUGACAUGGAUCGGGAGUGCUCAGAGAUGGGUGUGCCUCUUUUGGGGUCGGUUCACAGGUGGUGCAUGGCUGUCGUCAGCUCGUGUCGUGAGAUGUUGGGUUAAGUCCCGCAACGAGCGCAACCCUUGUUCACUGUUGCCAGCACGUUAUGGUGGGGACUCAGUGGAGACCGCCGGGGUCAACUCGGAGGAAGGUGGGGAUGACGUCAAGUCAUCAUGCCCCUUAUGUCCAGGGCUUCACGCAUGCUACAAUGGCUGGUACAGAGAGUGGCGAGCCUGUGAGGGUGAGCGAAUCUCGGAAAGCCGGUCUCAGUUCGGAUUGGGGUCUGCAACUCGACCUCAUGAAGUCGGAGUCGCUAGUAAUCGCAGAUCAGCAACGCUGCGGUGAAUACGUUCCCGGGGCUUGUACACACCGCCCGUCAAGUCAUGAAAGUUGGUAACACCCGAAGCCGGUGGCCUAACCGUUGUGGGGGAGCCGUCGAAGGUGGGACUGGUGGUUAGGAC